GGGGGCGAAACGGUUUCGACGGGGUCAACGCACCUGCAGGAGCGAGUCGAGGUUCCGGAGCCGCGUUAAAAAACCGGACAAAUAGAAAUGCCAAUAAUGAAUUUGCUCUUGCUGCUUAAUAAUUAGUAAGUAGCCGCUCUAUCGGCUUUGUGGUUCGAUGGGCCGAGAUGAGCGUCAGAAAAUCGAACCUAACCUGUGCCUUAGCUCCGAAGGUUCGGGGACAUUCAGGAGCUCGGAUGGUCGGACUCUGCCAGUGUAGUCUUGGCCGUUGACGAUGAUCACUGGCUGCGCUCGGAGACCCUGCAGGGAACUUGGUUUCGGACGCGAGUUCGACUCUCGCCGCCUCCACCA
rnacentral:tmRNA from 2 species